rnacentral:rRNA from 1 species
UACGAACUGUGCGAACGUUAUUCGGAAUCACUGGGCUUACAAGGUGCGUAGGCGGCCUGUUAAGUAGGGUGUGAAAGCCCCCGGCUCAACCGGGGAAUGGCGCCCUAAACUGGCGGGCUGGAGUGAGAUAGGGGUGUGUGGAACUUCCGGUGGAGCGGUGAAAUGUGUUGAUAUCGGAAGGAACGCCGGUGGCGAAAGCGACACACUGGAUCUUGUCUGACGCUGAGGCACGAAAGCCAGGGGAGCGAACGGG